CAACACCUCUUCUGUUUAGUAGAGAGACAGAUGGAGAGGCAGACAGGUGGAGAGGCAGACAGGUGGAGAGGCAGACAGGUGGAGAGGCAGACAGAUGGAGAGGCAGACAGGUGGAGAGGCAGACAGGUGGAGAGGCAGACAGGUGGAGAGGCAGACAGGGGGAGAGGCAGACAGGUGGAGAGGCAGACAGGUGGAGAGGCAGACAGGGGGAGAGGCAGACAGGGGGAGAGGCAGACAGGGGGAGAGGCAGACAGGGGGAGAGGCAGACAGGUACUCAGUCAGUGAGAAGAUAAACCACAUGAACGAUAUAACAAAACCUAAAUAUGUGUGAGUUCUUCUGUAGUGAUGGAGACCUGCUGCAACCUGUGUCUCUGACCUGUCUGUCUCUCUGACCUGUCUGUCUCCACUCUUUAGAUUCUGUCCUUUAAUCUUGUUGUUUUGGCUCUAACUGUCACAACAAACCAAACACCC